ACAAACUUGGUCAUUUAGAGGAAGUACAAGUCGUAACAAGGUUUCCGUAGGUGAACCUGCGGAAGGAUCAUUAACAAAUCACUGAUUGAUUGAUUGUUUGGGGUCGUCUGAUGAUGGCUCCGAAUAAUUAAUUAAUAUAUAUGUGCUCCAGUCGUCUAUGGCUGCUGCCUGCCACGUCAAGUGGUGGUGGUGGUGUGCUGUGACUUGGCUGGGUGCAAAAACACACAUGCUUUUAUUGUAUACUCUGUUAUUGUUGUUGUCGUUAUUAUUGGUGUCAUGCGUGCGUCGUCGUCAUGAUGAUGAUGUGCCGUGUCACUCUCUAUAACACCACACUAUUGCUAUAUAACAACUAACACUUUUAACAAUGGAUCUCUUGGCUCUUGCAUCGAUGAAGAACGCAGC
rnacentral:misc_RNA from 1 species